rnacentral:rRNA from 1 species
ACGGGAGGCAGCAGUGGGGAAUAUUGGACAAUGGGGGAACCCUGAUGCAGCAACGCCACGUGUGGGAAGAAGCAUUUCGGUGUGUAAACCACUGUCGUGAGGGAAUAAUGCUUGAUUUCGGUCAAGUUGAAUGUACCUCGAAAGGAAGCACCGGCAAACUUCGUGCCAGCAGCCGCGGUAAUACGAGGGGUGCAAGCGUUGUUCGGAAUCACUGGGCGUAAAGGGAGCGUAGGCGGAGACGCAAGCAGUCUGUACAAGACCGGGGCCCAACCCCGGACCUGCAGACCGGACUGCUCCUCUUGGAUAGUUCAGGGGCAGGCGGAGUUCCUGGUGUAGCGGUGGAAUGCGUAGAGAUCAGGAAGAACACCGAUGGCGAAGGCAGCCUGCUGGGGACUCAUCGACGCUGAGGCUCGAAAGUGCGGGUAGCAAACAGGAUUAGAUACCCUGGUA